rnacentral:lncRNA from 1 species
GCAGCGCGGAAGCCUCCAAAGACACGCAGCCAGCCCAUGAGGAAUGGACACCUGCCAUCUCUCACAGAGGGGCCCAGGGCCUCCAGGAGCCUUCAGUCACUGCAGAGCACAUGGACAUCCCCCAUCUGUGAAGGAAGAACCAUAUCCUGCCUCCUCUGCUAACUGACACAAAGACAAGGAGGAACAAGAGGGAAGAAGGAAAUUGGAUUAUUCACGUCGAAGCAUUAAUUUCUUGAAUUUGGAGAUGGAAAAAGUGAGGCUUUUGUUCCACUAACAACUCUUGCCUUUAGUUUCUUUUUAACAUUACCCUGAUGGGAAAAGUUUCUGUGUGCUCACAUCUGCACAUAGUACAUGUAGCUUCUUCUCCAUGGAAGCAGUCCGUUCACAAAUGAUGUUCAACCAGUAUUGAGAGAGAGGAGCACCUUCAGCAUUGCUGACUUUUCACACUUCUUAGCAGGAUGUUUUAACUUCCAGAGGAAACACUGAUUUUUAAUGUAGAGGUGGGGGUGCAACCACUCAGCAUAUGCCAGGAGCAAUGUCAUACCCCGAAUUAAAGCAAUCCAUAAGAAAGAACAUGACCAAGUCCAACCUGAAGUUUCUCCGCAACACAGCAGAGAGAAACCUUUUUGUUUCCUGUAAUGAAUCAAGAGGACCCAUGUCUGGAUUGCUGCAAAGGACAUUGUGUGCUCUGGUGAUGUGUCUGAGCAAUGUGGUGACUGUAGGCGGACAUCCUCGGUGCUGUGUUGUGGGGAUGAAUAGAUGUCUCGUGCCUGGAAUAAGGAAUGCAGGAGAAGAAAACAGUCAUCUGUAGAGCUCCAUCAAAGGCAGGCAUCGUGCAGAACUGGAUGUCCAGAGGCUUCAUGUCCAGAGAUUUCAUCUGUUGACAGGCAAGUUACUUCCAUGGAAAGCCUGACUUUUUUGGGUCAGAGAUCUGGUUGUUAGAGCUGCAGACUUCCCACAAACGUGCGAGGUCAAGAUGAUCUCUGCUCCGAACAGAGAAAGUUAUUGUGAACGUGCCAAACCCUCUAAAAUUUAGACUGUAAGUUUUUGAGUUGGGAAUCCCAAAUUAAGUGACACAUUUGAGAAUGUUCACAUCGGUCUUUGCCUCAGUUUUUAUGCAUGUAAACCAGAGACAAUGAUUUCACAUUUCCUCAUAGUUGUAUCAUGAAGGUAUAAUCUUAAAUGCAGCAAAAAAUAUAAACUGUUAUGAUGUCCCCAAAAGAAGAAGGGGAGAAGAAAACAAUAGUUUUGUAACCAGUGCAGAGCUGGACAGUGCAUGCAUGAAGCCACAAGCUGGAUAAAGCUAAAAUAUAAUACUGAAAAAUAGCCCAGUUUCAUAAGCCUUGUUUUCUUUAGAUGAGGAAGAAAAUUAGGAAAAAUAAGACAUUGUAAUGCAAUUAAAGACUGUGCUGUGGCACAUAGGCAGAAAGAAGCCAAAUAAAAGUUUGUUGCUUACCUUAAUACUGAUUCCC